rnacentral:rRNA from 1 species
GAUGAACGCUGGCGGCGUGCCUAAUACAUGCAAGUCGAGCGAACGGACGAGAAGCUUGCUUCUCUGACGUUAGCGGCGGACGGGUGAGUAACACGUGGAUAACCUACCUAUAAGACUGGGAUAACUUCGGGAAACCGGAGCUAAUACCGGAUAACAUUUUGAACCGCAUGGUUCAAAAGUGAAAGACGGUCUUGCUGUCACUUAUAGAUGGAUCCGCGCUGCAUUAGCUAGUUGGUAAGGUAACGGCUUACCAAGGCAACGAUGCGUAGCCGACCUGAGAGGGUGAUCGGCCACACUGGAACUGAGACACGGUCCAGACUCCUACGGGAGGCAGCAGUAGGGAAUCUUCCGCAAUGGGCGAAAGCCUGACGGAGCAACGCCGCGUGAGUGAAGAAGGUCUUCGGAUCGUAAAACUCUGUUAUUAGGGAAGAACAUAUGUGUAAGUAACUGUGCACGUCUUGACGGUACCUAAUCAGAAAGCCACGGCUAACUACGUG